CGCCAGCCCGGGCCCUUGGCGGGGAGGAUGACGGAGCUGCAGUCGGCACUGCUACUGCGAAGACAGCUGGCAGAUGUUUUCAGUCCCACUUCUCACUACUGACCUUCCUCGCACGACGGUCACUGAACUGGCGCCUCUCUGGGGUUCUGCCCAGAAGAUUAGCCUUCCUCCUUCGCUGCAGCCCCCUCUGUGGUUGAAGGUGAACUUGAAAUGAAUUUGAAUGGAGACGCUCAAGAACCUACUCAUUAUGCUAAGAGAAGUUUCAUUGUGAGGCUAUUCAUGGGAUUGCUGACAACAAGGGAUGAACUCAACAAAAAUCCAGUGGAAGGCUUUUCAGCAGGUUUAAUAGAUGACAAUGAUCUCUACCGAUGGGAAGUCCUUAUUAUUGGUCCUCCAGAUACACUUUAUGAAGGUGGUGUUUUUAAGGCUCAUCUCACUUUCCCAAAAGAUUAUCCCCUCCGGCCUCCUAAAAUGAAAUUCAUUACAGAAAUCUGGCACCCAAAUGUUGAUAAAAAUGGUGAUGUAUGCAUUUCUAUUCUUCACGAGCCUGGGGAAGAUAAAUAUGGCUAUGAAAAACCAGAGGAACGCUGGCUCCCCAUUCACACCGUGGAAACCAUCAUGAUUAGUGUUAUUUCUAUGCUGGCAGACCCUAAUGGAGACUCACCUGCUAAUGUUGAUGCUGCGAAAGAAUGGAGGGAAGACAGAAAUGGAGAAUUCAAAAGGAAAGUUGCCCGCUGUGUAAGAAAAAGCCAAGAGACUGCUUUUGAGUGACAUUUGUUUAACAGCUGUAACUUCACUUAUUUCAGGGUCAAGUUCUUUGCCUUAGUCUGCCAGUAUUGAACAUCUUUCAUGCCUGCCUGCACUUCAUCCUGGAUAUUUGUCCUGGAUACAACUACCAAGUCUCCAAUUGAGAAACAUGGCACUGUUUUUCCUGCACUCUACCCACCUAUUGCUGGACUUCUGUUGUAACGAGUUGGCAAACACUGGCUGGAACUGGGCUGCAAUAAAACAUGCCAGUAUCAAUGCUGACAAGAGCCUAACAAGUGCCAACUUACAGAUGAUUACGCAUUUUGAAUUCUAAUGAACUGUUUUAACCUUCAGGAAGAAUUGUAAAGACCUGUACAUAGCACAACAUGAUCCGGAUAAUAUAUAUACUGUUCAUGUACAUCCACAAAUACACCUUGUACCAAAUAAUGCUUUCUUGUAGUAGACUAAGAAUCAUGUAAAUUCUAAAAGAUUUUAGCAGGUUUUCUUCCCCUACUCAUUGUUUCUUAUCAGUUUUAAAAGACUCCUUAAAGCAUGUCAGAUGAAAAGCAAUUAGGAUUAAAAGUUUCCAUUUAAUUUUCUUUAAACCAUUGAGGCUUCAUUAAACUCUUUUCACUUACUAAACUUUUGUAUCUUCUUUGUUUUGACACACUCCCCUUUGCGUUUAUCUCUUCUAUCUGCCAGAAAGUUUUCAAAUCAUUUAGUUCAAAUACUGAAGUACUUAAUAAGCAACUACUUGAUUUUUAAUGAUGACUUCAGAGGAGUGGUCAUCACUAGGUGCUUUGUCCUUUUUGUAUUCUAGUUGCACCCAUCUCUUGGAUUGGAUGUAGCAAUAACAUUUUUUGGCUGUUGAGAGCUCUUGAACUAUCAUUAUCCCCGAGAACUAAAAAUAAUUGGUUCCGAAUUAAACAUACUGAAAAUUUCCCCAAACUAUACAAAAUUCUGAUUUGGUUUUUUGCCGUCCAGUUAGUUACCAAAUGUUAAGAUUGGAUGAAUAAAGCAUGCAGAGCUACAGGCUUUCUACUUAACUUCUGGGUUUGCUAUGAAAGAUGCUGUUUACCCUCAUACCCUUCUCCUUAGCCCUUUUCAUAUUUCUUUGCCUCUAUUCUUCUAUACUGCAGAUUUUUCUCACUAUUGUACAAAGAAAUUGCGAUGUAUAUUUUCAUGUAAUUUGAUUUUGGAAUUCUGUCACCUUAUGUAGUGAGUUCUUCCAAAAUACAAUUUUUUUCCAAUAA